GACGAACGCUGGCGGCGUGCCUAACACAUGCAAGUCGAGCGGGGGGAGUACUUCGGUACAAACCUAGCGGCGGACGGGUGAGUAUCACGUGGGUAACCUGCCUCAAAGUGGGGGAUAGCCUCCCGAAAGGGAGAUGAAUACCGCAUAACCCAUAGCUUACGCCUGGAAGCACUGGUAAAGAUUUAUCGCCUUGCAGUGGGCCCGCGGGGCAUUGGCUAGUUGGUGAGGUAACGGCGCACCAAGGACACGAUGCGUGGCCGACCGGGCAGGGUGAUCGGCCACAUUGGAACUGAGACACGGUCCAGACUCCUACGGGAGGCAGCAGUGGGGAAUAUUGCACAAUGGGCGAAAGCCUGAUGCAGCAACGCCGCGUGAGUGAUGAAGGCCUUCGGGUUGUAAAGCUCUGUCUUUUGGGACGAUAAUGACGGUACCAAAGGAGGAAGCCACGGCUAACUACGUGCCAGCCGCCGCCGUAACAC
rnacentral:rRNA from 1 species